rnacentral:rRNA from 1 species
UGAGGAAUAUUGGUCAAUGGGCGCGAGCCUGAACCAGCCAAGUAGCGUGAAGGAUGAAGGUCCUAUGGAUUGUAAACUUCUUUUAUAGCAGAAUAAAGUGACCCACGUGUGGGUUUUUGUAUGUAUGCUAUGAAUAAGGAUCGGCUAACUCCGUGCCAGCAGCCGCGGUAAUACGGAGGAUCCGAGCGUUAUCCGGAUUUAUUGGGUUUAAAGGGUGCGUAGGCGGAAAGAUAAGUCAGCCUGUGAAAGUUUGCGGCUCAACCGUAAAAUUGCAGUUGAUACUGUUUUUCUUGAUUGUACAUAAGGUAGGCGGAAUUCGUGGUGUAGCGGUGAAAUGCUUAGAUAUCACGAAGAACUCCGAUUGCGAAGGCAGCUUACCGGGGUACAACUGACGCUGAUGCACGAAAGUGUGGGUAUCAAACA